rnacentral:tRNA from 1 species
GGCUUGUGGCUCAGUGGUAGAGCACUUGCCUUGCAGGUGUGAAGCACUGGGUUCAAUCCUCAGCACCA